rnacentral:rRNA from 1 species
CCUACGGGUGGCAGCAGUGGGGAAUAUUGCGCAAUGGGCGAAAGCCUGACGCAGCGACGCCGCGUGAGGGAUGAAGGUCUUCGGAUCGUUAACCUCUGUCAGCAGGGAAGAACGGUCACUGUGCUAAUCAGCAGUGAAUUGACGGUACCUGCAAAGGAAGCACCGGCUAACUCCGUGCCAGCAGCCGCGGUAAUACGGAGGGUGCGUGUGUUAAUCGGUAUUACUGGGCGUAAAGCGCGCGUAGGCGGUAGGUCAAGUCAAGGGGGAAAUCCCCGCGCUCAACGUGGGAACUGCCUUUGAAACUGGCAAACUGGAGUGUGUGAGAGGAUAGUGGAAUUCGAGGUGUAGGAGUGAAAUCCGUAGAUAUCUGGAGGAACAUCAGUGGCGAAGGCGACUAUCUGGCACAUAACUGACGCUGAGGAGCGAAAGCGUGGGUAGCAAACAGGAUUAGAUACCCUAGUAGUC